GCAUCCGUAGCUCAGCUGGAUAGAGUGCCCGGCUACGAACCGGUAGGUCGGGGGUUCGAAUCCCUCCGGGUGUGCCA
rnacentral:tRNA from 1 species